UCUAUUUGAAGCGGAGUCACGGUUGUAGACUGUUUCAGUUUCAGUUCUGCUUAUCCGUUUCACGUAUUAUCGGAUUCCGCUAGUGCUUUCAUCAGUUACGGGCUGCUGUAGCUCGAGAGCCAGCACAAGGCUACCUAAAUCUAACUACUACUAUUACUUCUCCUAUGUCGGAUUCCGGAAUCGAGUUACUUGUUUGUCCUUGAAUCCUUGUUAGCAUUUCCCUGGAUUUUAACUGAUUUUUUGUUUCAGUUGUAGUCCGUUUCAGGUCUGCGACUCUGCAUAUCGGUUUCACGUAUCACCGAAUUCUGCUAGUGCUUGGUUCUAGGACUGGUGCACUUUUGGCCAUCAGUGAGAAGAGGGAGUUGGAUUGGUUGGACAGCAAGAUAAGAAAGAAAUCCCGAAAAUAAAGCAAAUGAAAUGCAAGAAUCUAAGUGGAACUUGAAGAAAACCUAACAGAUGUACUAAGAAGUGAUAGUUAAUGGGGUUGGACAGCAAGAUUUGAAGACAGGGAGUGGAGGUAAAGUAAAAGGCUUAAAAGUGGGCGCAGCAAGGUUAUGAUUUAAGAAAAUUCAUCUAUUAAAGCCACGAACUGCAUAAGACAGUGGAAGGAGGGAAUUAGAAUGGUUGGAAAAAACAAUUGAAGGAAAUGGAAUGGAAGUAAAAGGUUAAAAAGUUGGUACCACUGGGUUUUGAAGAGACAGUGCUAUACAGUAUACAUCUUUUAGUAAUGCCUCGUGUGACAACACUAGCCCCUGUGGGAAGUUGUACUUCUAGUAAUGCCUAAAGUGCACCAUCUGUGACAGCAUUAACCCCUCUGGGGUUAAUGACAUUUAAUUACCAAAAAUAAAAUGAAAUACCUA